AACUAGGAUGUUGGCUUAGAAGCAGCCAUCAUUUAAAGAGUGCGUAAUAGCUCACUAGUCGAGUGACACUGCGCCGAAAAUGUACCGGGGCUAAACAUAUUACCGAAGCUGUGGAUUGUCCGUAGGACAAUGGUAGGAGAGCGUUCUAAGGGCGUUGAAGCAUGAUCGCAAGGACAUGUGGAGCGCUUAGAAGUGAGAAUGCCGGUGUGAGUAGCGAAAGACGGGUGAGAAUCCCGUCCACCGAUUGACUAAGGUUUCCAGAGGAAGGCUCGUCCGCUCUGGGUUAGUCGGGUCCUAAGCUGAGGCCGACAGGCGUAGGCGAUGGAUAACAGGUUGAUAUUCCUGUACCACCUAGCAUCGUUUUAAUCGAUGGGGGGACGCAGUAGGAUAGGCGAAGCGUACGAUUGGAUUGUACGUCCAAGCAGUGAGAUUGAGUGUUAGGCAAAUCCGGCACUCUUAAGAUUGAGCUGUGAUGGGGAGAGGAAAUUGUUUCCUCGAGUCGUUGAUUUCACACUGCCGAGAAAAGCCUCUAGAUAGAUAAUAGGUGCCCGUACCGCAAACCGACACAGGUAGUCAAGAUGAGAAUUCUAAGGUGAGCGAGCGAACUCUCGUUAAGGAACUCGGCAAAAUGACCCCGUAACUUCGGGAGAAGGGGUGCUCUUUAGGGUGCAAGCCCAGAAGAGCCGCAGUGAAUAGGCCCAAGCGACUGUUUAUCAAAAACACAGGUCUCUGCUAAACCGUAAGGUGAUGUAUAGGGGCUGACGCCUGCCCGGUGCUGGAAGGUUAAGAGGAGUAGUUAGCUUCUGCGAAGCUACGAAUCGAAGCCCCAGUAAACGGCGGCCGUAACUAUAACGGUCCUAAGGUAGCGAAAUUCCUUGUCGGGUAAGUUCCGACCCGCACGAAAGGCGUAACGAUUUGGGCA
rnacentral:rRNA from 1 species